AGCAGCCGCGGUAAUUCCAGCCCCAAUAGCGUAUAUUAAAGUUGUUGCAGUUAAAAGCUCGUAGUUGAAUUUCGGGAUUAAUAUGUUGGUCGUGCCUUGGUACGUACUGGCAUUAUUGAUUCCUACCUUCUGAAGAACCUCGAUGUCAUUAAUUUGGUGUCUUGGGGAAUCAGGACCGUUACUUUGAAAAAAUUGAGUGUUUAAAGCUAAGCUAACGCUUGAAUACAUUAGCAUGGAAUAAUGAAAUAGGACGUUCGAUCCUAUUUUGUGGUUUCUAGGAUUGACGUAAUGAUUAAUAGGGAUAGUUGGGGGCAUUAGUAUUCAAUUGUCAGAGUGAAAUUCUUGGAUUUAUGAAGACUAACUACUGCGAAAGCAUUUGCCAAGGAUGUUCUAUAUACAGAGAACGUAGGAGUACGAGAACGAGUAC
rnacentral:rRNA from 1 species